GCCAGUGUGAUGUAGUGGUUUGAGCACGAGGCUAUGACUCUGGAGACCAAGGUUCAAAUCCCAGCUCAGCCA